GGUUAAGCGACUAAGCGUACACGGUGGAUGCCCUGGCAGUCAGAGGCGAUGAAGGACGUGCUAAUCUGCGAUAAGCGCCGGUAAGGUGAUAUGAACCGUUAUAACCGGCGAUUUCCGAAUGGGGAAACCCAGUGUGACUCGUCACACUAUCAUUAACUGAAUCCAUAGGUUAAUGAGGCGAACCGGGGGAACUGAAACAUCUAAGUACCCCGAGGAAAAGAAAUCAACCGAGAUUCCCCCAGUAGCGGCGAGCGAACGGGGAGGAGCCCAGAGCCUGAAUCAGCAUGUGUGUUAGUGGAAGCGUCUGGAAAGGCGCGCGAUACAGGGUGACAGCCCCGUACACAAAAGCGCAUGUGCUGUGAGCUCGAUGAGUAGGGCGGGACACGUGGUAUCCUGUCUGAAUAUGGGGGGACCAUCCUCCAAGGCUAAAUACUCCUGACUGACCGAUAGUGAACCAGUACCGUGAGGGAAAGGCGAAAAGAACCCCGGCGAGGGGAGUGAAAAAGAACCUGAAACCGUGUACGUACAAGCAGUGGGAGCACCCUUUGGGGUGUGACUGCGUACCUUUUGUAUAAUGGGUCAGCGACUUAUAUUCUGUAGCAAGGUUAACCGAAUAGGGGAGCCGGAGGGAAACCGAGUCUUAAUUGGGCGUUAAGUUGCAGGGUAUAGACCCGAAACCCGGUGAUCUAGCCAUGGGCAGGUUGAAGGUUGGGUAACACUAACUGGAGGACCGAACCGACUAAUGUUGAAAAAUUAGCGGAUGACCUGUGGCUGGGGGUGAAAGGCCAAUCAAACCGGGAGAUAGCUGGUUCUCCCCGAAAGCUAUUUAGGUAGCGCCUCGUGAAUUCAUCUCCGGGGGUAGAGCACUGUUUCGGCUAGGGGGCCAUCCCGGCUUACCAACCCGAUGCAAACUGCGAAUACCGGAGAAUGUUAUCACGGGAGACACACGGCGGGUGCUAACGUCCGUCGUGAAGAGGGAAACAACCCAGACCGCCAGCUAAGGUCCCAAAGUCAUGGUUAAGUGGGAAACGAUGUGGGAAGGCCCAGACAGCCAGGAUGUUGGCUUAGAAGCAGCCAUCAUUUAAAGAAAGCGUAAUAGCUCACUGGUCGAGUCGGCCUGCGCGGAAGAUGUAACGGGGCUAAACCAUGCACCGAAGCUGCGGCAGCGACACUAUGUGUUGUUGGGUAGGGGAGCGUUCUGUAAGCCUGUGAAGGUGGCCUGUGAGGGUUGCUGGAGGUAUCAGAAGUGCGAAUGCUGACAUAAGUAACGAUAAAGCGGGUGAAAAGCCCGCUCGCCGGAAGACCAAGGGUUCCUGUCCAACGUUAAUCGGGGCAGGGUGAGUCGACCCCUAAGGCGAGGCCGAAAGGCGUAGUCGAUGGGAAACGGGUUAAUAUUCCCGUACUUGGUGUUACUGCGAAGGGGGGACGGAGAAGGCUAUGUUGGCCGGGCGACGGUUGUCCCGGUUUAAGCGUGUAGGUGUGUGUUCCAGGUAAAUCCGGUUCACUUUAACACUGAGGCGUGAUGACGAGGCACUACGGUGCUGAAGCAACAAAUGCCCUGCUUCCAGGAAAAGCCUCUAAGCAUCAGGUAACAUCAAAUCGUACCCCAAACCGACACAGGUGGUCAGGUAGAGAAUACCAAGGCGCUUGAGAGAACUCGGGUGAAGGAACUAGGCAAAAUGGUGCCGUAACUUCGGGAGAAGGCACGCUGACACGUAGGUGAAGUGAUUUACUCAUGGAGCUGAAGUCAGUCGAAGAUACCAGCUGGCUGCAACUGUUUAUUAAAAACACAGCACUGUGCAAACACGAAAGUGGACGUAUACGGUGUGACGCCUGCCCGGUGCCGGAAGGUUAAUUGAUGGGGUCAGCGCAAGCGAAGCUCCUGAUCGAAGCCCCGGUAAACGGCGGCCGUAACUAUAACGGUCCUAAGGUAGCGAAAUUCCUUGUCGGGUAAGUUCCGACCUGCACGAAUGGCGUAAUGAUGGCCAGGCUGUCUCCACCCGAGACUCAGUGAAAUUGAACUCGCUGUGAAGAUGCAGUGUACCCGCGGCAAGACGGAAAGACCCCGUGAACCUUUACUAUAGCUUGACACUGAACAUUGAGCCUUGAUGUGUAGGAUAGGUGGGAGGCUUUGAAGUGUGGACGCCAGUCUGCAUGGAGCCGGCCUUGAAAUACCACCCUUUAAUGUUUGAUGUUCUAACGUGGACCCGUGAUCCGGGUUGCGGACAGUGUCUGGUGGGUAGUUUGACUGGGGCGGUCUCCUCCUAAAGAGUAACGGAGGAGCACGAAGGUUGGCUAAUCCUGGUCGGACAUCAGGAGGUUAGUGCAAUGGCAUAAGCCAGCUUGACUGCGAGCGUGACGGCGCGAGCAGGUGCGAAAGCAGGUCAUAGUGAUCCGGUGGUUCUGAAUGGAAGGGCCAUCGCUCAACGGAUAAAAGGUACUCCGGGGAUAACAGGCUGAUACCGCCCAAGAGUUCAUAUCGACGGCGGUGUUUGGCACCUCGAUGUCGGCUCAUCACAUCCUGGGGCUGAAGUAGGUCCCAAGGGUAUGGCUGUUCGCCAUUUAAAGUGGUACGCGAGCUGGGUUUAGAACGUCGUGAGACAGUUCGGUCCCUAUCUGCCGUGGGCGCUGGAGAACUGAGGGGGGCUGCUCCUAGUACGAGAGGACCGGAGUGGACGCAUCACUGGUGUUCGGGUUGUCAUGCCAAUGGCACUGCCCGGUAGCUAAAUGCGGAAGAGAUAAGUGCUGAAAGCAUCUAAGCACGAAACUUGCCCCGAGAUGAGUUCUCCCUGAGACUUAGAGUCUCCUGAAGGAACGUUGAAGACGACGACGUUGAUAGGCCGGGUGUGUAAGCGCAGCGAUGCGUUGAGCUAACCGGUACUAAUGAACCGUGAGGCUUAACCUU
rnacentral:rRNA from 1 species